AAGUCUACCUUCUCUACAAGACAAGGUGCUCGGGAGCGUCAUCGUGCUCUCCCCCUGUUCCAUUUAUUGAACUGACUUAAGAACCAGUUAUUUUGAGGCAAUUGUUUGAACUUUGUUUCCAAUGAUUAGAUGAUGUACAAAUGUGCUUUCAUCCAUGCUAUAUCAAGUUUACACUUUGGCAAAAAAAUAUUGUGGCAAGUCUGGUUGCUUUUACAUUAUUGUUAUAUGAUCAAUGACUUGCUUUACAGGUUCAUUUGCUUUUCAUGAACAUUUCAUGUAGCGAUAUUCUUUGCCUUGUUUAUAAAUGACUUGCAAGGAUCAAUUUUUGUAAUGGUUUCCUUUCACACCAUACAUUUCAAAGCCUUGUAGAAAAUUGGCAGCAAAUAAUUUCAGUACAUUUGAUUCCAGAGACUAUAGUACUCUUGGAUAGAUUUGCGACAGUCCUCUAAAAGUCUUCUGGCAAGGAGCGUCCCAAUACGCUUCUCUUCAAUCGAGAGUUGCUACUACGGAUGUUUUUGAGAGAUUAUGAUUUUUAAUGGACGAUCUGACUGUGUGUCAUUGUGAUUAUUGGAGUUUCUUCGUCGCAUAAAUAUUUUUAGGGGGUCUGAGGCAAAGGUACCCAACUCUCUGCAUGAGGCAAGUGGGGAGCAGUUGAGGAACAACAUGCUGGGGUUUGAAGGUUUUUGGAGCCGCUCACCUUAGGGUUUGAAUGAUCAACUGGUUCACAAGAUUCGAAGACCACGUGAUUGGAGCAGUUCCCAGUUUUUACAAACUUCCAGAUGUUGACUUGCUGGAGUCCGUAUUACCAGCCCAGUCCGCAUCCGCGUAAGUAAGCAAUCCUUCAUUGUUGUUUGCUAGAUAGAAAAUUCCGAGGUCCUGCGAUCUUUUCAAGUACCGUAGAACGUUCUUAGCUGCAACCAUGUGUGCGAUUUGGGAAUUUUGCAUAUAUCUUGAUAGACAGCCAAUUGUGUAUUGUAUAUCCCAUCUAAUUGUGGUGAAACAUAGGAGCCCUCCUAUGAGACUUUGGUAGGAUUUGGGAUCAACAGCAGGAGUGUUAGUCUCUUUCUGCAGUUUUUUUUUAGGGUUCAUUGGAAUAGGUAAGGGCUUGCAUUAUAUGAGGUUGAACUUGUCUAAUAGUUUUUCAAUGUAUCUACGUUGAUGGAGAUAGAUUCCAUGUUUGUCAUAGUGCAGUUUCACCCUAAGAUAAAUGCAAGCAUCCUCGAUAUUUGUCAUAUCGAAUUCUGUCAUCAACGUUGUUUUAAGUCACUAUAUAUUGUGUUUAUCAUCUCCUAUGACUAUUAUGUCAUCGACAUAGAGUAGAAUGAUGAUGUAUUUUCCUUCCUUGAUUGAAAGAUACAUGUUGAGAUCCUCUUGGCUUCAUUUGAAUUCUUGGCUUGUAAGGUAUGUGUCAAUUCUCCCAUACUAGGCUCUUGGAGCUUGACGUAAACCAUAAAGCGCCUUUUGCAAUUUACAUACUUUCCUUUCACUGCUUUUCUCUUUGAAUCCCGGUGGUAUUGUCAUGUACACUUCUUCAAUCAAAUUUCCAUUCAGAAAAGUUGUUUUAACAUCUAGAUGAAGUAACGUGGAUUUGGUUUGCAAUUCCUAAUCGGAUACCUUCUUUGCUCAGCAGGUUCAUGGUGAGCUGUCGAUGAAGAGCAAAGUAGAUCUCCUAUCAGACUAGUUUGUUCUGUCGAGUUUGAAGGAUGUAGGUUUUCAGGUAGAUGGUCGAGUUCAGGUUGCAGUUCGACAUCUAUGGUUUUUUCUUGAUUUUCAACAAUGGUAACGUACUGAUUAUCAGAUUUUAAUGUGCUAGUUUUUGGAAAUGAGACUAUUUCAUCAGAUUUUGGUUGUUCAACAUGAAGGUGGUGAUAUCCUACCAAGGUCUCAUCGAAAACGAAAUCAAGGCUUAAGUGCAGUGUUUUGCAAAUGGGAUCAAACAAUCGAUACCCUCGGCUUUUGUCCUCAUACCCGACAAAGAAACAUCUAAGGGCUUUGCUAUCUAGCUUUGUCUUGUUCUUUUUCGGUAUGUGGAGGUGGCAGCUAUGGAUCUGGCACGUUCAAUAAUAGUGCGGAUUUUUCUUUCACUCACACCGUUCUAUUGGUGAGCUGCCGCCUAAUUCCGUUUUUAUUGAGUAUCGUGAUCCUCUCAACAAAGGAGUUCAAAUUGGACCAACUAAGUCGAAAUGGAUAAGAUCAAGUACUUGGGAAGAUCUGUUUAUGUAUGAUUUCGGAAUUCGUUCUCGGUGCUAUCGUCCGGCUAGGCAGUCCUCGCAAACCUUGUGCAUGUUGUGGAAAAUAGGUAAGCCGCUCACCCGCUUUGUUGACGAUAAGUAAAAGAGACCCGCAUUAUGCAAGUGGCCGUACUGUUUGUGCUACAAUUUUAUGUUUGCUUCUACUGUUACAGUAUUGAUUAGUGCUUCCAUCUGCUUGUUGCAAAAUAUGUAAAGUCUAUUUGAAGAAUCCCAAUUUCCUACUGCAAUGACUGUUUUGUUUGAUCCAUUAUCAAAUACUAAACAUUUCUUGUAUGUCCGGUGUCUGUUUAGAGCGUCGACAGAUAUGAGGUUUCGAUGUAAAGCCGGGACAUAUAAAAUGUUACUUAAGUUUAUUGAACCAAAACUAGUUGAAACACUCGAAGAGCCUAUUGCAUCAACCCGAUGAGACUUUCCAUCGGCCGUUGUUACACUCUUUUUUGAAGGAGAAAUAUCCAUCGAAUGUAUAUUUCUUCUUUCACAUGUGAAGUGGUUGCUUGCUCCCGAAUCCAUGUACCGAUGUCGAUUGUGAUAGUCCAGCAGGUUUGCUUUAGUCAAUGCGUUGGUAUAGUGAGACUGAAGAUCGCCUUCGACGUAGUAUGCAGCUCUUGGGUAUUGUCGACACUCUCGAGCUAAGUGUCUGGGUCCUCCAAUUGUAGCAGUAGAUUACUCUGUUUCCUCGGAAGUGAGUUUGCUAAACUCUUGGGCGGCGGAUGCGAUUUGGUUGACGAUGUUGUAGUGUAUUGAAGGUGGAUGUAGACGAGUCUCGGUACUGUUGAGGAUGUCAUUUAGGGUUGCGUCCCCUUCAAUGUCCUCCUCUGAAGUGUUAGUUCCCUCUCUACCCAGAAAAGUGACGUUGUAGAUGAACCUCAAGCGCCUCUUUCUGCUUACUAAUCACCAUGCAAUGUGAUUCUGCUAGCAACUUGUCCAUAACGUCCUCUAAAGUUGGAUCUAAGAGAUGUAUGAUCCCUUGGAUCACCAUUCCAUAGCUCCACUAAGUUGGUUGAGCAUGUUCAUUGCAUCAAUGAAGUAUGCAUUUAUGUCUCCACCUUCCUUGUUUAAUAGUAGUAUUUGUUGUUGGUCCCCAACUAUAAUAUAUUCCAUGAGUUGGGAAGAUUGUUGUGUUGUCA